rnacentral:rRNA from 1 species
GAUGAACGCUGGCGGCGUGCCUAAUACAUGCAAGUCGAGCGAACAGAUAAGGAGCUUGCUCCUUUGACGUUAGCGGCGGACGGGUGAGUAACACGUGGGUAACCUACCUAUAAGACUGGAAUAACUCCGGGAAACCGGGGCUAAUGCCGGAUAACAUUUAGAACCGCAUGGUUCUAAAGUGAAAGAUGGUUUUGCUAUCACUUAUAGAUGGACCCGCGCCGUAUUAGCUAGUUGGUAAGGUAACGGCUUACCAAGGCAACGAUACGUAGCCGACCUGAGAGGGUGAUCGGCGACACUGGAACUGAGACACGGUCCAGACUCCUACGGGAGGCAGCAGUAGGGAAUCUUCCGCAAUGGGCGAAAGCAUGACGGAGCAACGCCGAGUGAGUGAUGAAGGUCUUCGGAUCGUAAAACUCUGUUAUUAGGGAAGAACAAAUGUGUAAGUAACUGUGCACGUCUUGACGGUAACUAAUCAGAAAGCCACGGCUAACUACGUG